UGAGACUGUGCCUUCGGGAGCCGUGAGACAGGUGCUGCAUGGCUGUCGUCAGCUCGUGUUGUGAAAUGUUGGGUUAAGUCCCGCAACGAGCGCAACCCUUAUCCUUUGUUGCCAGCGGUCCGGCCGGGAACUCAAAGGAGACUGCCAGUGAUAAACUGGAGGAAGGUGGGGAUGACGUCAAGUCAUCAUGGCCCUUACGACCAGGGCUACACACGUGCUACAAUGGCGCAUACAAAGAGAAGCGACCUCGCGAGAGCAAGCGGACCUCAUAAAGUGCGUCGUAGUCCGGAUUGGAGUCUGCAACUCGACUCCAUGAAGUCGGAAUCGCUAGUAAUCGUGGAUCAGAAUGCCACGGUGAAUACGUUCCCGGGCCUUGUACACACCGCCCGUCACACCAUGGGAGUGGGUUGCAAAAGAAGUAGGUAGCUUAACCUUCGGGAGGGCGCUUACCACUUUGUGAUUCAUGACUGGGGUGAAGUCGUAACAAGGUAACCGUAGGGGAACCUGC
rnacentral:rRNA from 1 species